UACAGAGGUCUCGAGCGUUGUUCGGAUUCAUUGGGCGUAAAGGGCGCGUAGGCUGCGGGGCAAGUCGGGUGUGAAAUCUCAGAGCUCAACUCUGAAACUGCACUCGAUACUGCUUUGCUUGAGGACUGGAGAGGAGAUUGGAAUUCACGGUGUAGCAGUGAAAUGCGUAGAUAUCGUGAGGAAGACCAGUGGCGAAGGCGGAUCUCUGGACAGUUCCUGACGCUGAGGCGCGAAGGCCAGGGGAGCAAACGGG
rnacentral:rRNA from 2 species